AUAAUCAGUAUAUAUAUAUAUUUCUCGUUCUCGUCUGAUCACCGAAGUUAAGCAAUGUCAGGCCUGGUCAGUACUUGGGAGGGUGACCACCUGGGAACACCGGGUGCUGUAAGCU